rnacentral:rRNA from 1 species
AUCUAAACGCUUUCAUCAACUGUCUUCUGACAGCAAUGAAUGCAUCAAUUCAAAACAAUAUGAAGAGUGCAGCCAAAUGCAGUAAUCAUUGCAAAUUGCAGAAUUCCGUGAGUGAUUUUUCUUGAAUGUAGGCAUGUUCUUGGGCCACCCCUAASGACA